rnacentral:lncRNA from 1 species
CGCCCUCACUAUUGCUUGUUUAGGUUCACAUUCACAUCAACAUGCAAGUGAUAAAGACUGUCAAUUAAAAAAUCUCGUACAAUUAAUUUAUUUUAUAAAUAAAUAAAAUAAAAGCUUUUAUUGAAACUAAUUUCAAAAUCUUCUUAUGCUAGCACAAAUAUGAAAAUCAAAUUCUGACUAGCUACAGGAAUAUAAUAACAGUCUUUUAAAUCUAAUCUAACACC